rnacentral:rRNA from 1 species
UUGAACGCUGGCGGCAGGCCUAACACCUGCAAGUCGAGCGGAUGAAGGGAGCUUGCUCCUGGAUUCAGCGGCGGACGGGUGAGUAAUGCCUAGGAAUCUGCCUGGUAGUGGGGGAUAACGUCCGGAAACGGGCGCUAAUACCGCAUACGUCCUGAGGGAGAAAGUGGGGGAUCUUCGGACCUCACGCUAUUAGAUGAGCCUAGGUCGGAUUAGCUAGUUGGUGGGGUAAAGGCCUACCAAGGCGACGAUCCGUAACUGGUCUGAGAGGAUGAUCAGUCACACUGGAACUGAGACACGGUCCAGACUCCUACGGGAGGCAGCAGUGGGGAAUAUUGGACAAUGGGCGAAAGCCUGAUCCAGCCAUGCCGCGUGUGUGAAGAAGGUCUUCGGAUUGUAAAGCACUUUAAGUUGGGAGGAAGGGCAGUAAGUUAAUACCUUGCUGUUUUGACGUUACCAACAGAAUAAGCACCGGCUAACUUCGUG